rnacentral:lncRNA from 1 species
GAUUUAUUGAUUAAUAUUAUUAUAACUAACAACUAGGGAUGAUUUAUUGAUUCAUAUUAUUAUAACUAACAACUAGGGAUGAUUUAUUGAUUCAUAUUAUUAUAACUAACAACUAGGGAUGAUUUAUUGAUUCAUAUUAUUAUAACUAACAACUAGGGAUGAUUUAUUGAUUCAUAUUAUUAUAACUAACAACUAGGGAUCUUUUAGUGUUUUUUAUUAUAGGGUGUGGAACAUGUGUACACACAUAUUGGACAGUCACGUGGGUGAAAGAGUCAGUGAAAUACAUUCAGAAAUGCCCAGAAUGUUGCAGGGUUAAGGCCGUAUAAGCCAAGUAACAAAGUUCAUCCAAAAAAUGUCUCCAGUUAGUUGAGCCGCUGAGUAUUCCCCAGGUAAAACCCAGUGCUCAAAUUGUUUUUGGUCUGCUGCAGUGUUGACUCUGGCCUGAUGCAUCAGAAUCUGGGACAGGAGAGCCCAGCCCCCCGUCCCCACAUCACAUUAAACUGCUGCCUAAUAAGAACAAUCUGUGUGGAGCCCAGGAGCAAAGUCAUCUUUUGGGAAGCCAGCGGGGGAGGAGGGGAGGAAAAGACAGGGGAGUGGUAACAGAGGGGAAAGGAGGGAUUUGUCCUGAUGGCAAAGACCUUUAAGUAAUUUUUUUCCUUCUGUGCUGGUCAGAGAAUCCUUCGGUCUGAAAUCCGAAACUGUAGAAGUUACUUGUUGGAGGAGGUGAGCAGCCACGUUUUUUCUUCUUGUUCUCAGCACAUUUUUUCCAGCCAUUUUCCUCAAGCUCUCAAGCAUCCACAGCUCAAGAGCUUUUUCUGUGUGACCACUUCUGGGAGCGUGCAAUGCCUCAUGGGGCCCAGCUUGCACCCAGAUGGAGAGGAGAAAGGGGGAGAAGCAGGAAGAGAUGGUCUGGGAUGGUUUACACCGACCAGAACAGCAGUCUGCUCCAGGGCCACAUUCCGCAGGGUCCAACUGGUGAACGUUCAAAAUGUACUGUGUAGAACGGAUAUGCCCAUCUGAAUU